AAAAACAUAGCCUUUAGCACAACAAGUAUUAAAGGUCUCGCCUGCCCAGUGAAUCUUUUAACGGCCGCGGUAUCCUAACCGUGCAAAGGUAGCGUAAUCAUUUGUCCCCUAAAUAGGGACUCGUAUGAACGGCUAAAUGAGGUUCUAACUGUCUCAUUAGACUAAUCAAUGAAACUGAUCUUUCAGUACAAAAGCUGAAAUAAACCCAUAAGACGAGAAGACCCUGUGGAGCUUAAAACUUAUACUAUAAACAAACCCCCCUUUUUCAUUUAAGCCAAUAGUAUCAAUUUUUAGUUGGGGCGACUUUGGAACAAAACAAAACUUCCAUGACAGGGACCCUCCCUAUUAAGGCCCACACGCCAAAAUAACUACUUUUUGACCCAGCCACUCUUAGCUGAUCAACGAACCAAGUUACCCCAGGGAUAACAGCGCCAUCCUCUUCAAGAGUCCCUAUCGACAAGAGGGUUUACGACCUCGAUGUUGGAUCAGGACACCCCGGUGGUGCAACCGCUACCAAAGGUUCGUUUGUUCAACGAUUAACAGU
rnacentral:rRNA from 1 species